UACGUAGGGUGCGAGCGUUGUCCGGAAUUACUGGGCGUAAAGAGCUCGUAGGUGGUUUGUCGCGUUGUCCGUGAAAACUCACAACUCAAUUGUGGGCGUGCGGGCGAUACGGGCAGACUGGAGUACUGCAGGGGAGACUGGAAUUCCUGGUGUAGCGGUGGAAUGCGUAGAUAUCAGAGGAACACCGGUGGCGAAGGCGGUUCUCUGGGCCUUACCUGACGCUGAGGAGCGAAAGCGUGGGGAGCAAACAGG
rnacentral:rRNA from 1 species